AGAGUUUGAUCCUGGCUCAGAUUGAACGCUGGCGGCGUGCUUAACACAUGCAAGUCGUGCGAGAAAGGGGACUUCGGUCCCUGAGUAGAGCGGCGCACGGGUGAGUAACGCGUGGAUAAUCUCCCCAGAAGUUCGGGAUAACGGCGGGAAACUGCCGCUAAUACCGGAUACGCUCCAAUUUCGGUUGGGGGAAAGGCGGCCUCUGUUUACAAGCUGUCGCUUCUGGAUGAGUCCGCGUCCCAUUAGCUUGUUGGUGGGGUAAUGGCCUACCAAGGCUACGAUGGGUAGCUGGUCUGAGAGGAUGAUCAGCCACACUGGAACUGAAACACGGUCCAGACUCCUACGGGAGGCAGCAGUGGGGAAUAUUGCGCAAUGGGGGAAACCCUGACGCAGCGACGCCGUGUGAGGGAUGAAGGC
rnacentral:rRNA from 1 species